AAAUCAAAGGAAACAUUGCACAAACAUACAGAUAUGCAUACAUAUGUACACACGCACACACACACACACCCAUAUACACAGACACAGCAAGGAAUGUACUCAAUGUUCAAUCAAUAUUUGUAAUUUCGUGCAAUUUAUCAAUAAUUUUUAUUAUCAGUUCUGUUCGUGUAAGAGGAGCAAGGAGAUUUGGUUGAUUUUGAAAAAGGAAAUACACAUAAAUGCAUAAACAAAUAGAUUUAAACACUUGAUGAUUAUGAUUUAGUUUUGAUUUAAGCUUGAUCUAUUUGCUAGACCCCUCCUCCUUUUAUCUUCAUCUCUUAAGCAAAACGAAGUCAUAUUUUGUAAUUUACGUUUAAAGUGGAUUUCUAUUCAAGUUUUCGUGCCUAAGUUUUGUAUUUUUUACAUUUACAAGAUGUUUGUAAAACAACACCAACUACAACAACCACAACCACAACAACAACAACAAAAACUACAACAGCAUCAACAAACAACUCAACAAAAUAUAUAAUUUAAAUAAAAUUAUUCAAGAAAUUAUCGUUUAUUUUUCGCA